rnacentral:rRNA from 1 species
GGGUCAGUAGGUUGGUCGUGCCACCGGUACGUACUGGUCUCACUGAUUCCUCCUUCCUGAAGAACCGUAAUGCCAUUAAUUAGGUGUUGCGGGGAAACAGGACUGUUACUUUGAAAAAAUUAGAGUGUUUAAAGCAAGCUAACGCUUGAAUACAUUAGCAUGGAAUAAUGAAAUAGGACAAUCGAUCCCAUUUUGUUGGUUUCUAGGAUUGACGUA